rnacentral:antisense_RNA from 1 species
AGCUCCCUCUUUGCCCACUAGCAGGGCAUUAGCUGGUGCUGAAGACAGUGGCUGCUUGGCGAGCCUGGAUCUCCAAGUGACCCCCUCAGCAACUCCUGAUGAACAGGACUGAAGCCAAUAUUAAAGCAAGUCAACCAAAGGUUCUCUGGUGUAGACAAGACAGCAAAAGGACAGACUACCUUGUGGAACCUAGCAUUGUUCUCCUUCUGCAGCACUAAGUACUGUGUGCAGAAAUGUAAUUGAGAUUCAAGUCAGGGCCUCUGCCCUUUUCCCUCCAGAAACAAAACCAAGAUAAUUUAUCCUGAACACACACGGUGAAAAAAGGAAGGGAAGGGGGAGAAAAAGUCCAGGUCUUACCUGGGAUUCUCUGUCUCCUGCAACAUGAAGGAUUUAGCCUGGGAGGAGGUGGUGAGAACUCUGGGAGAGAAAAAAGAAGGAAAGAAUAGUUUUACCCAUGCUGAAGUUAAACCUUCACCUAGAGAAGCAAAAACAAACCACACUUUUCCAUUUUGUGCCUCCCUUCCUAGAGUUUUAGCCAAAGGUGUAACUAAGUAAUUGGUUUUACC